rnacentral:sRNA from 1 species
CAUGAAGUCCUCAGCUGCCCCUCUGUUGUCAAAGUCUGACUUCCUUUCCCUCGCUCAACACACUGAAUUCAGCUCUCCUAUCGCAUGGAAAUGCUGACCUUGGAGCCAAGACAACUGGGCUUAAGCCUUGUCACCACCAGGUAGCUGGGAGGAUAUCAGCAGGCUAGUUCCUGCAUUAAGAAAAUGAGGAUAGUAAUUUCCACCUUACAGGACUAUAACAGUAGAAUAAGAUAAUUGAUAUGAAAGGGCUUUGAAAAUCACAAAGUUGGAAUUGUAGGAUUAGUUCCAAGUCUUUAAGUUUCUACCAAAGGAUGUUAUAGAUGAUGUAGAUCCUAUCUAUAUUACACUUCAAAGAUGGAAAAAAAUAUGCCCUCCAAAUAAUAUAUUCAUCACAUAUCUGCUCCUGGAGUAAGAAAGGAAAGUGUGUGUGUGUGUGUGUGUGCGUGUGUGUGUGAGAGAGAGAGAGAGAGAAAGGCUGAAAGUUGCAGAUUUCUUUCAGGAUCAACCUUGGAUAAAGCGUAUCUUUAGGGCCUUUUGACCCCUCUCUUUUAUCUCAGGCCCUAAUACCUCAGGCUACUUGACUUACCUGCCCAAAUGCUCUACCUCUCCCUCUCCUCACAACCUUGGCUGGCUGAAUAGUGCUUUCAGGAAGCUUUUGGUUGGUCCAGAGUCAGAUUAGCCUGGAGCAGGUGUGAACCACAAGUUAGGCUAGAAGUGCUUAGUAGUGUCUCAGAUCAAAUAGGCUUUUGUUGCUGCUUUUCUAGUCUUGUGUUUAUUCAUGGACUUAAUGAGUGUGUAUGGAGCAUCUACUGAGAACUAGGGCCUGUAUUAAAUUACAGAGUCAGAAACUCAGAGGGUAGAAUGUCUUAUUUGAACUGCAAAGGGUUUACAGUUUUUCAACUUAGUUGUCAACAUUUAAAGUUUGGAAUACUUUAUGUUAAAAGUUCUGGAUUUCUGUCUUUUCUUGAGGUUUUAUUGUUUUUAAGAAUGGAAAUGUCUUAUCAAAUUAAAUUCUAUGUGGAGCCUAUCUAUAGCUGCUCUGGUUGACACCGGCUCUGUUGAGCUGGGUAUAUCAAGAUGAACCUUCCUGGGGACCCUCUUUUUAUUCCUUAGUGGGUCACAUAUUAGGUUAGACUUCCUAGAAUGGGUUUCAAGCAGAGAGAGAUGGUCCGCUUGAGAGGGCUCCUCUAGGGUGGGGCAGAGGUGUUAAUCCUCAAGGAGGACAUUAUUCUCACCCAGGGUAAGAGCAGCAGCAUGGGCUGGUAAGUGAGUGCAGAGGGACUGACUGAGAAUCCAGAUUGACAAGAUGGGGGCCAACAAAUACCAUUAACUAGGUAGAAUAGGGAAGGACCACAGUACAGUGGUUAAGACCUGCGGCUUCAGAGUCACACUGGCUGAGUUUGAGUGGCCACUUAGGGAAUAACCUUGGGCAAAUGUCUGUGCUCAAUUUAUUCAUAUAUAAAUUGAAGAUCACAACAGUGCUGACCUCAUAGUUGUUAAGAGGUGGUUGUAAAUGAGCUAGUGCAUGUAAAAUGCUUAUGAGAGUGCUGGGAAGGUAGAAAGGGCUCAAUAAAUGUUAUCUACCAUCAACCAAAGAGGGUGAUUUGUAGUCACAAGAGAUCAAAAUAAACCAGGCCUCCAGCUGUGGCCAGGCUGAGAUGAGUGGGCACCCUGGACCGGCUGCUUCUCUGGUACCCUUCUUUUUUAGAUGGAGUCUUGCUCUCUCCUAGAGGCUGGUGUGCAGUGGCACAAUCUCGGCUCACUGCAACCUCCACCUCCCUGGUUCAAACAAUUCCCCUGCCUCAGCCUCCUGAGUAGCUGGGAUUACAGGCGUAUAUCACCAUGCCUGGCUUUUUUUUUUUUUUUUUUAAUUUUAGUAGAAACGAGGUUUUACCAUGUUAGCCAGACUGGUCUCUAACUCCUGACCUCAGGCAGUCCACCUGCCUCGGCAUCCCAAAGUGCUGGGAUUACAGGCAUGAGCCACUGCGCUUGGCCUCUGAUACCCUUCUUAAGUAUUUAUUUAUUCUUUAUGUUGAUUAAACAUUUGCUCAUUCUUCAGUGCAAUGGUUGAGUGAUUCCGGGAGAAGAUCACUGAUGGCUGUGCCCAAUGCUGAAAUCUGUGUGAAGCUGGGAGCCUUGGGAGCUUCUGCACGUUAGCUGACAUGUACCUUUCAGGAGUGUGUGCCUGAGAUCACAGAACCUCAAACUAACACAUGCCCCUUUUUAACUUCUGAACUGUAUACAUACCUCUUGAAGAAUGUUUUACACAUAAAAUGAAAAGGGGAAUGUAUUGCAUCAUUUGCGCUGUUUGGUGCAGAACCAUCCUAGGGGAACCUCUGGCCAGAGAACAGGUCUGGGGAAGGGAUCUUGACUGGGACCAGGGAAGAUCUUGUUUGCAGGCUGGUUACACUGAUGCUGUAUGCGCCGAGUGCCAGGGGCUGGGAUUCUGAGUCCAGCAGCUCCUACUGCAAAUGACCACUGUGGGCUAUUCACAUACUGGGCAUCUGAGGCAAGCCUGAACCUACGUUAAAUGAUUCUUUUUUGUUUCCUGCCAAGGCACAUAGUAUCUGGAGAGACAGGCACAGCAGGGAGCUUGUCAUGUGAUGCUAGCUGUGGCAGGAGCAGGAAGAACCUACACUUCCGGCUCGAGCAACAGAGUUCUCCUCCCACCCAGCUUUCCCUGGAGUGAACCCCUCAUACCCUCAGCAGAACAGAAGCCCCACAGUGGAGCAGGCCUCUCCAUUCUCAGCAGGGCUGAUCCAUCAUACAUUGGAGGUUUUGCUCCUCUGAUCCCCCAGCGCAAAUGGUGGAUCCGCCAUGCAGUGCUCUCCAUGAGACAUGCUGAGACAUCUUGCUGUCACACAUGAUGCUCUCACCAUCCUGUUGCAUCUCCAGUGAUAUUUUAGUGCCUCUAGGAGGGCACCAUGAGUAACUGAGUGGCAGGCCCACCUCGCUGUAAUCUCAGGGUGCCCUGGAAUCAGGUGUGGUGGUUUAGAUGGGUUAAAGUUCAUGGUUCAGUUUGGACUAUGAGGAAUCAGAUAUACACAGAAGCUGGUAACUCUAAUACAAAUGCCCUUGGGGACCAGACAGGGAACAACAGUGUAUGGCAACAGGCCAGAGAGGGAUGGAGCUUAAGGAACUGAAACCGUGUCCUCCCUGCCUGAAGGCAUUCCAGGUACAAACAUUCUAAACUGCUGUGUGGAGCGUGCAGUCUUAGAUCUCUUCACUAGGGGGUUAACAGAGCUCCAGCAACAAGAUUAGAAUUUUAUCCUGGCUUCCACAUGGGCUCUGCUCCUUCUCAGAGCUUGAUGAGCCUGAAGCUGAGGAUGAUGCCUGGCUGGGUGGAAUGGCCAGUGAGAGGCCUUUCAAGCCACACUGUGGUCCUUGGUGAACUCUGUCCUUCCCAGAUGCUGAUGCCUCAUCUCAGUGUGUUGUGUUGGCUCCUUCAGGGGCGCUUGUAUUUCACCAAAGGACGUCUAAAGAGGGGGUCUAAACUUAUGGGAGUGGCCGUCAUGGGAUAAUUCUGGGCCUCACGGCAGACCCCCAGGUGAAAUCUUUUGAGGGAGGGGUGUUCCCAUCUCUUUGGUCAUCCAAUAAGGAUGGCAACGUGAAAGCCACGCAGGGCUCUUGUGUGUGACCAUUGGAGGAUCCUUUGGGGCCACUGUGUUCCUGUAGCUAGAGAAUGCCAAGUCGUGAGCAUGGAGCUGUAACCCAGGGCCUUCUCAUUGCCCUCUUCCUUUCCCUUUGAAAUAAUUUACACUGAUCACCCGCUGAAAACAAACAAAAAACCCGACUUACAAAAUAUCUCUGUACUGAGAACCUGUGAGCAGGAGAAGCUUCAGGCAUCCAGGAGCUCAAGGAAGUGAUUGUGGGGUGCUUCUCUGUCCCACAGGAUCAGAGAGCGGAGCAGAGUCUACCAGGCCUCAGCAGGGCAUAGCAUGUCCUCUCCUGGCGUGAUGAGAAGAUAUUUGAAUAAUCUAAUAAUCAAAAUGGUAACCUUGAAGUAAACCCCAAAUUAUAUAAUUGUAUAAUUUCCUGAAAACAUAGAAAUUAAAUCAGUUUUAGUAUUCAUUGUAUCUCGAGGGAAUAAAUGAACAAUUGGUUGUCCCAUCUGUAUCGAAUAAUGUUAGCCAUUCCAUUGAACAAAUGAAAAUGAGCAUAUGUUGAAUGAACAGAUUGAUUCCUUUAACUAUUAUGGGUCACUUCUGUGUUUUACAUUUAGCUGGAAGAUACUUUUGGAUUGACUGAAAUUCAGGUGGCCAGACCUGACAACUAUUUUUUUUUUUGAAUUCUCUAAAAUUCUGACCAAUCUCUGCAAAAUCUUUUCAUGUGAAAGUGCAUUCUGAUGACAGGCGAUAGGUCACUUUUCUUUGGAAGGAUAUUUGCAUGGAUGGCGAAGUCACCCAAAGGAGCAGCAAUACCCAGGGAAGGAUUAGAGAGAGCCUCUGGCCUCUGGAAUGCUCUUUCCACUUUACUAUUAUGAGGUUGUAAAAUGGUCUCACCUUUUCCUUCACAAUGCAGGAAGAAAGCAAACUCUCUUAUCCCUGCCUGGCCCUGUGCAGCCCUGUGAUUUCAGGCUGUGCUGGAGGAGAUCUCAGCGGCAGUAUCUGGUGGUUUAGCUAUUCACAUGUGUGCUGUGUUUUCCCCACCGCAGGCCGAGUGCAGAUGCUGCCCCAAGCGGUGUGCCUGCUGCAUGCGCUGCUGGAGAAGGGACACAUUGUGUACGUGCACUGCAACGCUGGGGUGGGCCGCUCCACCGCGGCUGUCUGCGGCUGGCUCCAGUAUGUGAUGGGCUGGAAUCUGAGGAAGGUGCAGUAUUUCCUCAUGGCCAAGAGGCCGGCUGUCUACAUUGAUGAAGAGGCCUUGGCCCGGGCACAAGAAGAUUUUUUCCAGAAAUUUGGGAAGGUUCGUUCUUCUGUGUGUAGCCUGUAGCUGGUCAGCCUGCUUCUGCCCCCUCCUGAUUUCCCUAAGGAGCCUGGGAUGAUGUUAGUCAAAUGACCUAGAAACAAGGAUUCUACCUGAACUGAAAGGACUGUGUGACCUCCCCCAAGCCAACCACUUUCACCUGGGAUGAUUUUCGAUUAUGCUUUGUUUUGGGGCUGUAUUUUUGAAAUACUCUACAAGAAAGCUGUGAUUCACACAUGAGAAGAAGCACGAAGCAGUUAGGCUGUACCUCAGACAGAAGGGUAAUUAAUGCGUGCAGUUCCUGCUGCCUGCAGGCGGACGAGGCCUUUGCUUUACAGCACUAUAUGUGUUGCACGAUGGAUCCAUGACAGCACUUUCCUGUUGCGCUGAAACUCUUGGCCAUGCAGAGGAAAAGAUAUGGAGCUAUGUGGAUUUCAUCACUAGUAUGUGUGCAUGAGCUGGUCAGUUGCCAAAGGAGGAAAUAAGGUUAGAAGCCUGAACCGUUAAAAAAGAAGAGCUCACUGUGGUCAAAAAAUGAUGGCUUUUAGGACUUAUUUUUUAUCCUGCCUCACAGUUGUUAAAGUCUGUUCCAAGGCAUCACCUUCCUUCUCUACCCAACAACCCUGUGUAACAGCUAAAGUAGAAUUAUCUCUCA